rnacentral:lncRNA from 1 species
GAGUUCACAUCUUGGUUGUGCUGCUCGGCACUUUGAACGUGGUUCGUGACUGGAUUAGCCAAGUAUUGGAGCUCAGAACAAUAGGAAGCCAUUGCAAUUUCGGCUCCCUUGAAACCAUAAUCAAGACUUGGGUUUGGACCACCGGAGAGGUUAGAUGGGAGACCGUUGUUGUAGAAAUCGUUAACAAGUUCCGAGAAUUGAGCAAACAUAAGUUUCCCUAUAGCAGCAAUAGCCAAGCGAACGUUAUCCAUCGAGACACCAAUCGGGGUACCUUGGAAAUUGCCACCAUGUAAGGCCUUAUUUCUCGAGACAUCGAUCAAAGGGUUGUCGUUGACAGAGUUAAUCUCUCUUUCGAUCGAUUUGGUUGCAAAUCGGAUCACUUCAACCUGAGGACCAAGCCAUUGCGGAGAAGUCCGUAACGCGUACCGAUCUUGUUUCGGUUUUUGCAACGGAUCCAUUUCAUGUAAUUUCUUAGCUGCUUUAACAUAUGAACUCCCUUCGAGUAUAUGUUCCAUUAUCGCAGCGGCCUCAAUUUGUCCCGGAUGAUGCUUCAAUUUAUGUGUCAAAUGAUCCGUAAACUCAGGUUUACCGUUCAUCACUUCAGCAAAAACCGCAGACAAAAUCUCGGACAAAACAACAAGUACAUUAGCUUCAAAAAGAACCAUGGAAGCCAAACCUGAACCAACCGCGGUACCAUUGACAAGAGCCAACCCUUCUUUAGGCUGCAACAUGAAGAAUCCGGAAUCGAUACCAGCUACACGAAAGGCUUCCUCGGCAUUGAGGGAUUUUCCAUCUGGUCCAACAGCCUUGGAAUUCGGCCUGCCGGUGAGUAAUCCAGCAAUGUAGGAAAGCGGAACGAGAUCACCCGAGGCCGUAAUAGUGCCGCGGAGGGGCAAACAUGGGGUAAUGUUGUGGUUUAAAAGCUUAGUAAUGGCUUCUAAAAUCUCAAAUCGGAUACCAGAAUAUCCUUGUAACAGAGUAUUGAUUCUAACGAGCAUGGCUGCCCGCGUUGCUGAGUGAGGAAGCGUGUUGCAUGACUCGGUUCCAUUGCCAAAAAUCCCAGCAUUCAAGAACCUGUACAGGCAGACAACAAAUAGAUUUAAGAUAUUUUGCUUCGAUUUUUCAUUGAUUUAAUUUAUUAUUUAUAAGUUAAAAAUCGUAAUUGUUCAAAUUAAAUUCUAAUUAACGUUUAAUUCUGUAUUAAUAUAAAAACUAGGAUUUUAUUUCUAAACAGUGAAAAACUGAAAAUUCUUAAAAACGAAUAUAAAUAAUUAAAUAUUUUAACAAUUAAUUAAAUUUAUUAAGAAACGAAAGAACCGAACCAAACCGAUACUAAUCGGUAAAAUUCGGUUCAAUUAUUUAUAACUCGAUUAUAACUCACCCAACUAAAUCAAUUUAUUCUUUUUUCAAUUAAAUCUCAAUUAAGGUUUCAGUUAAGAUGCUAAGUUUAUAAUUGAAAUCUAUAAUUGAACUCAUUGGUGAAACAUGCUGCUAAGUUUUGGGGUUGAUUCAAAAUUUCCAAAAAUUUCAGGGACCUAAUUCAAAAUUUAAUUUUUUUGGGGACAUUUAAUUGAAAAUUUUAAAAUUGUUAAUGGAUGAAUGAGAAUUUUCAAAAAUCUUAAAAGAUCUAAUUAGAAUUUUUAAAACUUUAGAGAUUUAAUUAGAAUUUUUAAAAGUUUUAAGAGGCAUAAUUAAAACUUAAAAAAAAUAAAAGGCAUGAUGAAAAUUUUUCAAAAUUUUUAAACUUUUGAAGACUCAAGUAAAAUUCUUAAAACUUUUGAGAGGCUUAAUUGAAAUUUUAAAAAAUUUCAAAGGAUAUAAUGAAAAGUUUUCAAAAUUUUUGAGAGGCGAAGAUCCUUACAAGCUUCCACGCCUGUAACUAAAUAGACCGACUUGAUUAACUCAGAAUAUUUAAUAUAACCAAAAUUUUAUGUAUAUUUUAAUAUUUAUAUUAAAUAUAUAUAAUAUAAAAUAAUUAUAUUUAAAAAAAAAAGUUAAACCGACCGAACUGAGAUGUAAAAGCGAGGGGAUUUAAAAUUAUAUUUAAGGGCUUGGCGCCCCAAAAGUGGAAACAUUGCUAGCAGGUUAUAUUGCAUUUUGGUAAAAUUUAUGUUAGGUCCUUUCUAAAUACUGUAUUAAUUACGAUAAAAUUAUAUUUCAAUCCUCAAAAUUUUAUAAUUUUAUAAUUCAAUUUAAGCACUAAAAAAAAUUAAUCUGACCGUAUUAACCGUUGUUCACCUCUUCACCGCCAAAUUAUAAGUUAUACAAAAAAACAAAUCCACCUAGUUCAGAACUGAGUCAAAUAGUACGAUUCAACUCAGUUCGAAAGCGAGUUGCAAUGCUGGUUUUUAAGUACGUAAAUUUAUUUAUAUUUUUCUUUUAAAACUCACCUAAUAAGCUCUUUUUGAAGCGCAGCGCCUUGUUUGGUUCUCCGAUGAGAAGUAGCGCCAAAACCAGUAGUUACGCCAUAGCUAUCAGUGCCUUUAUUCAUCCCAUCAAGCACCCAAUCGGCACUAGCUUUAACGGCAGCCCUCGCAUCGUCGGAGAGUUCAACUUUGACACCAGAAUCGUGCGCUGCAAUCGCCGCGACUUGAGAGAUCGUUAAUGUCUCUCCGCCGAGUUUCACCAAUGGCUUCCGAUACUCCAUCACCAUCCGUUUCACUUCGUCCAAAUGGCUUCCUUUCAACGAUUCGGCCACAACGCCCCAGUUCAAUGGAUCGGCUGCGAAGGCGGUGGAACCGUUGGCUGUGGUGGUGCAAAAACUGUCUAAAGAACCGUUUUGAGUGAUUGCCGCCAUUUUAUAACAGGAAUUAUUGAUCGAAAUGAAAGGAUUUUUUUAUGUUUGAUUUACGAAUCUAUGGAUUUUGAGAGAGGGAAAAUGAGAUCAAAUCGAAGGAAAUAUCAAAGGAUUUUUUUUUUUUUUAAAUUUCCUUUGGUUUCCUUCUUGGAGAGAAAAGAAAAGAAAAAUAUGGUUUAAAUAGAGAAGAGAUAAAGGGGGAAAGGGGUUAGUGGAGUUGGGUAGGUAAGCAUAAGGGGGUUGUAUGUAGAUGGUAGAGAACGAAAACCAAAUUAAAUUAAAUUAAAUUAAAAAUUCCAAUUCAUUUUAAUUUGGAUAAAUUAAAUUUGAGUUCGGUUUCACUAGAUUUGAUUCUUGGAAAAAAAUUAACUAUUAAACUCAUUUUAACUUAAAUAUGAAUUAAACUGAAUUUCGAAUGAUACAAAUUUUGAUAUGACUCGAAUUUGAAAUGAAUUAAGCUCGAACUUAUCCAAAAAGUAACAUGCAAUAACCCGGAACUUGAAGUUUUUCAAAUUCGUAAUAACCUUAUUUGAAAAACUGAGUCUUGGAAUUCGAAUCCAAAAUGAGCCGAAUUCAGAAUAGUAUAACUAGAAGUGAAUCGAAAUCGAAACCGAGUCAAAUUAGAAGUUUUUAUAACUUGAGUUAACUCAAUCCAGAUUCACUAGACCAAAAACGACAUAACCCAAAACGGUCUGACUAAAAAUGAAUCAAAAUUGCAAUUAACUUGAAUUUGAAAAGACUUAAAAUUUUUAAAACUUGAAUUAACUCAAUCUAGAUUGAUCAAACCUAAAAUGAUUUGAACUCGAGACAAUAUGACUAAAACUGAAUCUAAAUCGAUAUUGACUUGAAAAAUUUUCAAAAGACGAAUUGACUCAAUCCAAAUUGACCAGACCCGAAAUAUUCCGACUAAAAAUAAAACCAAAAGUGACUUAAAUUUAAAAUAACUCAAAAUUUUCAAAACUCGAAUUUACUCGAAUUUACCUAAUCUUAAUAGUCCAAUUAGCAAGCCUAGUUGAUAUUUAAUUCCGAUUCAAGAUUUAAUUUACAAUCAUAAACAAAAUGUAAUUAACAUCAUCGGUAUUUAAAUGUCAAAAUCAUAACUUGAACAAAAAUAUCUAUUAAUUUAAAACGGAUAACUCGACCCUCGAACAAGUUUCAAAAAUUAAAAUAAUACUUGCAAAAAUGUAAAUAAAUAUUAAAUGAACAGAAAAAAAAGGGUGAAAGCGAUGAAUAGAAGAGCUGAUAGGUUUUUUUUUUUGUGAAAAUAUUUUCGGUCCCUUUCAAUUUUGAUAUUGAGUAAAUUGGUCCAUUUAAAAAAUUUUAAAGCAAUUUUUUUAAAUUUUUGGAAGUGAUCAACUAUUCGACAAUUAAUCAUGGCGUUAAAGUUUUUCUGACAAUUGUAUAUAAUUUUAAUUGGUGUAAUGACAAAUUUAGCCCUCGAUAUUUGUACAUUUUGUGUGAAUAUUGCGAGUUAAAUUGUUAAACCAAAAUCAAAUUGAUAGAAUGUGUAAAAUCUGAGAGUUAAUUUUGUUAUUAUACCAAUAAAAAAAUCACAUUCAUAUCCACACAAUUUAAACUUAAUUGGAUAUUUAAAUUUUAUACUUAUUUUCCCUCUAUAUUGUUUAAUUUGACGAUUUCAUUCAUAUCCACACAAUUUAAAAUUCGAGUUUAUGUCGUUUCAUGAUUAUUGGUCGAGAAUUCAAGUUAGACAAUCUCGAAUUCAUAUAUUUAUUUAUUUGCAUCAUUUUGAGUUUUUUUUAUUCGAUUCAUUUUUCUUAUUUUGUGUUGUACAAAGAACUUUUAUAAUAAAAAACUUUAAAUCGAGUUAAGAAUUAAAUUAAUCGAAUCAAAAUUUUAAUUUUACAUAUAUAAAAAGAUAUUUAUUAUUGUCGAAUAUAUAUAUACCUACUUUUCAGUGGGAUUGGGUUGUUGAAACAGUGCUAUUAGUGUCAAAGAUUAAAUCUUUUAUACGUGUGUGUAUAUAUAUAUACUAAAAAGUCAAGUUGUGGAAAUUGCAAUUCUAUUAUUGGUUAAUAAAUUACUGAUAAUUUAGGAAAUUAAAAAAUUUGAAAUUAAACCGAAUAAGUUUUAACUCGAUUGACAUGAAUAUGAUUGUUAAUGUAAAAGAUUGUGGGUUCGAGUGCGCUGAAACGUAUUAUCCUCUUAUUUAUGCGUUGUUAAUAUAAGAUUAAUUAAGUUUUUUUUUCUUCUUCUAAACUUUGAAAUUAAAUAAUUAUUUAUAUAUAAAUAACAAUAUCUAUAAUUUCAAAAUUGGUUCAUUUAAGUCAAAUUUCUCGUAAAAAAUUAUAUAUAUAUAUAUAUAUUUUGAACAAGUAAAAAUAAGGGUUGUUGGUAUACUAUUUUCAACAAAGCUGUUUUCUCUUGAACUUAUCCUCAACAAGAAAAAACUGUUCAAACCUCACCAAAUUUCCAUUAUGUCUCCAAUAUAAAUAAUUAUUAUUUUAUACCUUAUUAGUGGAAUAAAAGAAUUAGGGUAAAUUGCUAAAAUAGUCACUUUUAUUUAUCUUAGGUUACAUUUUAGUCACUUAUGUUUGAAAUGUUACGUUUUAGUUACUGAGCCGUUAAUUGCCGUUAACGGUAAGCUAACGUGACACAUUAAAUCAUCGUUUCAAAUAAAAAAUUUUAGGUUGAAUUAUACAAUUGGUCCCCAUAUUUUUUUUCAUUUUGAGCAAUUUAAUUUUUUCUUUUAUCUUAUUUUAACUUUCUUUCUUUUUUCUUUUUUUUCAUUCUCUUCUGCUUCUUCCUCUAUUUUCCUCCCUUCUCCGUCUCUUUUAAUUUAGUUUUUCUAUGUUUUCUAUUUGUUAAAACUAAAGGGGAAGAAAAAAAGGAAAAUAAAGAAACAAAAAGAAAAAAUUAAAUUGUUCAAAAAAAUAAAAGUAUAAGGACUAUUUUAACAAAUCGAAAACAUAGAAAAACUACGUUAAAAGAACAUAAAAGAAAAAAAUUAAAUUGCUCAAAACGAAAAAAUAUGGAGACCAAUUGUAUAAUUCAACCUAAAAUUUUUGUUUGAAAUGAUGAUUUAACGUGCCACGUUAGCUUACCAUUAACGACAAUUAACGACUCAGUGACUAAAACGUAACAUUUCAAACAUAAGUGACUAAAAUGUAACCUGAGAAGCAGAAAAGAAUGAAAAAAGAAAAAAAGUUAAAAUAACAUAAAAAAAAGUAAAUUGCUCAAAACGAAAAAAUAUGGGGACCAAUUGUAUAAUUUAACCUAAAAUUUUUGUUUGAAAUGAUGAUUUAACAUGCCACAUCAGCUUACUGUUACACCGUUAAUGGCUCAGUGACUAAAAUGUUGCAACACAUUAACGUAAGUGGCUAAAACGUAACACUUCCAACAUAAGGAACUAAAAUGUAAUCUGAGGUAAACAAAUAUGACUAUUUUGAUAAUUUACCCAAAAAAUUAUAUAAAUCGAUUAUAAAAUUGUUACUUAUUUUUAAUUAUAUAAAAAAUUAAAAUAAUAUAUAAUAAUAUUAUAAAUUCGUUUGUGAAAUUUUAAAAUUUUAUUAGAAGUGUAGCGAUUCAAAUUCAAAUACGAAUUAAAAUAAUAAUAAUAAAUGAAGUUUAAGUUAUUUUAGAUGGAGUUGGGUUUGUGUAAAACUCGUUUCAUUAAUUAAAAUAAGACAAAGACUAAACCCAAACCAACAGGCUUAUUCCAUACACUCGGUCCUAUUGUCGUCUACAAACAUCAGAACUAGAAUUCAAAGCAUCAUCAGAUAAAUUAGAAUUAGGAAACGAGGAAGGGCUAUCCCACUAAGUAUGAUCCGCAUAAGAUGAGGUUACCUUAGCAUGGUUAUGAAUCGUCUUAUUAGCGUCUCGACGUGUCCAACAAAAGGACAAAUUAUGGAACCCAGAAGCAACAACUUGACAAUCCAUAAUCAAGAAUCCAAAAUUCGAUAAAUCUAUGUUACCCUUAGUAACUGCAGUAAUAACCCGAAGACAAGCAGAACCAACAAUGAUGUUAUUGAUACCAAUAGCCUUCUAACUAAUAAAGAACUUCGCGAAGUGCAAACGUCUCAGCUAAAUUAGAUGUCAAGCAUAAACCAGAAUGAUUAUAAAGACCAUUAAUAAAAAGGUCAGUUGAAUAAAACGUACAAUAUUUUAAUAAUAAUAAAUGUGAUAUAGUUUAACUCGUGAACGGGUCUAGUAAACAAAAUAGAAUUUGGUAUACUAUUUCAUAUCAAAAUCAAGAAUUAACUAAACAUUGUAAAGCAAGGGACCUACAAAACAAUUAAUCAAUCAAUUAUUGUGAAGCAAAAAAAAAAAAAAAGAGUUAGAUAAAUACUGGCCGCAUAUCCCACCAACCUUCGUGUGUGUGUAUAUAUAUACACCUACCAAAAAUAUUCGGAUAAAUUACACCACGGGUCAUUUUAAAAUAAAGCUGUUGUUAUUUUAGUCACUCUAAUUCUUUUGAUCAAUUUAGUCACUCUAAUUGAGACAAUUGUUCGAAUUAGUCACUACCGCUAAAAUUUCGAUUAACCCACUAACGUAUAAAAUUAGGAAUCUUUCAAAUUUGAGAGCACGGGCACCAAAAUUGCAAUUCGACCUUUUUAGUAGUAACAAUUACAAAGAUGAUUAUGCCGACUAAAUCUCAUAUCUGAUCAUAGUAUGUAGGCACCAAAACUGUAAUUUGGCCUUUUUGCAGUAGCAAUUAGAAAAACAAUUACUAUACUUAAAACCCAACUUUGAGCAGAAUAUAUAUAGUUAUAACUUAAUUUAACAAAUUACAAACAAAGAAACAUAUUGCAAAACAAAUUUCCAAGGACCAAAUUGAAAAGGAAAAAAACUAGCAAAUUGGCAGUGGGGCACCGUUCCAUUCUUUAAGACAUUCAAGCAUUGGAUCAAUUACCUUCCCUUGGCACAUAGCAAUGAACACCUUGUCAAAUUCCUCACCAGGGGACUUCACUUUUUCCCCGGUUAGCAACCCAGUCCCAAGCUCUUCCCUCACGAAUUUGUACAGCGGGUAAGACCGGCAUUUCGUGAUCUUGUUUGGGAUUGCUGGGUUUCCGUUCUCGAUGGAAACCCUCGAGUUCUCGACCUCUUUCGGCAAUAGGGUCUUCAAUUCUUCUUCAAAAGCUGCGAUCUUUUGGAAGAUCGAAGUGCUAGCGUUGUUCUCGUUGUUGCCGUUGCUCAAAGCGUGCUCAACGAGGACUUGUCUUAGCUUUUGCAUCAACGGAUACGUAGCGCUGCAAGGGUCGUCAAUGUAUGAGAAAACAUAUUCGUGGUCCACGGCUUUGAGUAAGUCCUUUUCGCAGAACCGCGAAGGGUGAAGCUCGCCGUUGGGACCGGUCGUGAGGGUCUUCUUAGCGACUUGGCUCACGAUGUUCUUUACCGUGUUCUUUAAGUUUUCUUCUAAGUGUCUUAAAUCGAUAGCUUGGCAAAGCGCCACCAAGUAUGUGGAGGACAUAAGCUUUAUGAUAUCGACGGCCUCGGCGGUUUUCCGAGAUGAGAUUAACCCCAAUGAGUUCACAUCUUGGUUGUGCUGCUCGGCACUUUGAACGUGGUUCGUGACUGGAUUAGCCAAGUAUUGGAGCUCAGAACAAUAGGAAGCCAUUGCAAUUUCGGCUCCCUUGAAACCAUAAUCAAGACUUGGGUUUGGACCACCAGAGAGGUUAGAUGGGAGACCGCCGUUGUAGAAAUCGUUAACAAGUUCCGAGAAUUGAGCAAACAUAAGUUUCCCUAUAGCAGCAAUAGCCAAGCGAACGUUAUCCAUCGAGACACCAAUCGGGGUACCUUGGAAAUUGCCACCAUGUAAGGCCUUAUUUCUCGAGACAUCGAUCAAAGGGUUGUCGUUGAC